rnacentral:rRNA from 1 species
GCCCUUAGAGUUUGAUCCUGGCUCAGGACGAACGCUGGCGGCGUGCUUAACACAUGCAAGUCGAACGAUGAAGCCCUUCGGGGUGGAUUAGUGGCGAACGGGUGAGUAACACGUGGGCAAUCUGCCCUUCACUCUGGGACAAGCCCUGGAAACGGGGUCUAAUACCGGAUAACACUCUGUUCCGCAUGGAACGGGGUUGAAAGCUCCGGCGGUGAAGGAUGAGCCCGCGGCCUAUCAGCUUGUUGGUGGGGUAAUGGCCUACCAAGGCGACGACGGGUAGCCGGCCUGAGAGGGCGACCGGCCACACUGGGACUGAGACACGGCCCAGACUCCUACGGGAGGCAGCAGUGGGGAAUAUUGCACAAUGGGCGAAAGCCUGAUGCAGCGACGCCGCGUGAGGGAUGACGGCCUUCGGGUUGUAAACCUCUUUCAGCAGGGAAGAAGCGCAAGUGACGGUACCUGCAGAAGAAGCGCCGGCUAACUACGUGCCAGCAGCCCGCGGUAAUACGUAGGGCGCAAGCGUUGUCCGGGAAUUAUUGGGCC